AACGAACGCUGGCGGCAUGCCUAACACAUGCGAGUCGAACGAGACCUUCGGGUCUAGUGGCGCACGGGUGCGUAACGCGUGGGAACCUGCCCUUAGGUUCGGAAUAACUCCCCGAAAGGGGUGCUAAUACCGGAUAAUGUCUUCGGACCAAAGAUUUAUCGCCUUUGGAUGGGCCCGCGUUGGAUUAGCUAGUUGGUAGGGUAAAAGCCUACCAAGGCGACGAUCCAUAGCUGGUCUGAGAGGAUGAUCAGCCACACUGGGACUGAGACACGGCCCAGACUCCUACGGGAGGCAGGAGUGGGGAAUAUUGGACAAUGGGCGAAAGCAUGAUCCAGCAAUGCCGCGUGAGUGAUGAAGGCCUUAGGGUUGUAAAGCUCUUUUACCCGGGAUGAUAAUGACAGUACCGGGAGAAUAAGCCCCGGCUAACUCCGUG
rnacentral:rRNA from 1 species